rnacentral:rRNA from 1 species
AUUGAACGCUGGCGGCAGGCCUAACACAUGCGAGUCGAGCGGAUGAAGGGAGCUUGCUCCUGGAUUCAGCGGCGGACGGGUGAGUAAUGCCUAGGAAUCUGCCUGGUAGUGGGGGAUAACGUCCGGAAACGGGCGCUAAUACCGCAUACGUCCUGAGGGAGAAAGUGGGGGAUCUUCGGACCUCACGCUAUCAGAUGAGCCUAGGUCGGAUUAGCUAGUUGGUGGGGUAAAGGCCUACCAAGGCGACGAUCCGUAACUGGUCUGAGAGGAUGAUCAGUCACACUGGAACUGAGACACGGUCCAGACUCCUACGGGAGGCAGCAGUGGGGAAUAUUGGACAGUGGGCGAAAGCCUGAUCCAGCCAUGCCGCGUGUGUGAAGAAGGUCUUCGGAUUGUAAAGCACUUUAAGUUGGGAGGAAGGGCAGUAAGUUAAUACCUUGCUGUUUUGACGUUACCAACAGAAUAAGCACCGGCUAACUUCGUG